rnacentral:sRNA from 1 species
UCCGCGUUAGGGAUGGAAGCGGCAUCCUUUUGUAUUUGAAAUUAAAAGGAAAACAGCCAGUGGCUGUUAGGUAUUUGCUUUAGCAAAACAUCCAUUAACAAAACAAAAGAUACAGCGGACAGCCCGGAGUGCA